GAUGAAGAACGUAGCGAAAUGCGAUAAGUAAUGUGAAUUGCAGAAUUCAGUGAAUCAUCGAAUCUUUGAACGCACAUUGCGCCCGCCAGUAUUCUGGCGGGCAUGCCUGUUCGAGCGUCAUUUCAACCAUCAAGCCCCCGGCUUGUGUUGGGGACCUGCGGCUGCCCGCAGGCCCUGAAAACCAGUGGCGGGCUCGCUGUCACUCCGAGCGUAGUAGCAUAUAUCUCGCUCAGGGCGUGCUGCGGGUUCCGGCCGUUAAAAGCCUUUUUUUACCCAAGGUUGACCUCGGAUCAGGUAGGAAGACCCGCUGAACUUAAGCAUAUCAUAAGCGGAGGA
rnacentral:misc_RNA from 1 species